UUUUUUUGGACCGUUAAAUAAAUAACAGUCUGGUAAAAAUGUAAUGAUCCCGUUCCAGAUAAUACGCAGGGUGGUGCAGAACACACAAAUUAUAUAGGAUCAAUGUGCCGUCGAGAAAAAAAAAACAACAAAACUUCUGAUACUGUCGAUGGGUGUGCCAUCUGGUUGUAGGCCGAAAGUCGGGAAGGUGUAUUUAAGCUAAUUUCGUGCAUGCGCUGUAGAAAGCGACGAUACAUUUCAGCAUUCAAAAAACGAUUCUGAGAGGAGCUCGAUAAACUGCUAAGUUUAAGGUAAAUUAUUC